AGUGAACGCUGGCGGUAGGCCUAACACAUGCAAGUCGAACGGCAGCGCAGUAAGAGCUUGCUCUUACGGGUUGCGAGUGGCGGACGGGUGAGGAAUACAUCGGAAUCUACUUUUUCGUGGGGGAUAACGUAGGGAAACUUACGCUAAUACCGCAUACGACCUACGGGGGAAAGCAGGGGAUCUUCGGACCUUGCGCGAUUGAAUGAGCCGAUGUCGGAUUAGCUAGUUGGCGGGGUAAAGGCCCACCAAGGCGACGAUCCGUAGCUGGUCUGAGAGGAUGAUCAGCCACACUGGAACUGAGACACGGUCCAGACUCCUACGGGAGGCAGCAGUGGGGAAUAUUGGACAAUGGGCGCAAGCCUGAUCCAGCCAUACCGCGUGGGUGAAGAAGGCCUUCGGGUUGUAAAGCCCUUUUGUUGGGAAAGAACAGCAGCAGGUUAAUACCCCGCUGUUCUGACGGUACCCAAAGAAUAAGCACCGGCUAACUUCGUG
rnacentral:rRNA from 1 species